rnacentral:lncRNA from 1 species
AAGAAGCUGUGAAAUUCAAUUGAAGAAAAAAAAAUAAUGGAUGAUGAAGACAUUGUUGCCAGGCAUGUGAUUUCAGAAGCACAAAAGAAGAAGAAGAAAAAGAAUAUGGCAAAUAGAGAGGAAGAAGAUGGAAACAACAAGGGUUUUUAAUUUCAAAUUUUUAACUUCGUGAUUUUUAAUUUCGUCCUUCUGUAACUUUUCGUUUUUAGUUUUGGUCCCUGUAAUAUAGUCAGGGAUCAUCUGUCAGUCCACAUAAGCGUGUUUGGCCAAGUCAGCACCUGCUACGUCACUCACCGUUAGUCAGCAAGGCGUUUUUGUAACAGAGUUUGACUGGAGGGACGAAAAGCAAAAGGUUAUUAACUUACAGGGGUUGUUUUAGAACAAAAAAAGAUACAGGGACGAAAACCAAAAACACGCCAAAUUACAGGGACGAUUUACAUAUUUAAGC